UCAAGCUGAAAAGAGCGCAAGGGGAAUGCCUUGGCAUCAGGAGCCGACGAAGGACGUGACAAGCUGCGAUAAGCCACGGGGAGGAGCAAAUAUCCGUUAUAUCCGUGGAUUUCCGAAUGGGGGAACCCGCUCAAGCAAUACUUGAGCAUCGUGCGUUGAAUCAAAUAGGCGUACGAAGGGAACGGCCUGAACUGAAACAUCUAAGUAGGGCCAGGAAAAGACAUCAACCGAGAUUCCGCUAGUAGUGGCGAGCGAACGCGGAGGAGGCCAAACCGAGGGACGCAAGUUCUUCGGGGUUGCGGACAGACAUCAUGACCAGAGGAAGUUAAGAGAACGGCGUGGGAAAGCCGGCCAUAGAAGGUGAGAGCCCUGUAUCUGAAAAUGAAGACUGGCAGUCUGGAUCCAGAGUACCGCGGGACACGUGAAACCCCGUGGGAAACCGGGUGGACCACCAUCCAAGCCUAAAUACUACCUGAUGACCGAUAGAGGAGCAGUACCGUGAGGGAAAGGUGAAAAGGACCCCGGGAGGGGAGUGAAAGAGAACCUGAAACCUUGUGCUUACAAGCAGUCAAAGCACGUUAACGUGUGAUGACGUACUUUUUGUAGAACGGUCCGGCGAGUUAUAGUAACGAGCAAGCUUAAGGUAUUGAGUACCGGAGGCGAAGCGAGAGCGAGUCUGAAUAGGGCGUAAAGUUCGUUGCCAUAGACCCGAAACCGGGUGACCUAUCCAUGAGCAGGCUGAAGUGAGAGUAAAAUCUCAUGGAGGGCCGAACCGACCCCCGUUGCAAUGGUGGCGGAUGACUUGUGGAUAGCGGAGAAAUUCCAAUCGAACUCGGAGAUAGCUGGUUCUCCCCGAAAUAGCUUUAGGGCUAGCGUUAUUUUAGAUUACCGGAGGUAAAGCACUGAAUGGUCUAGGGGCCGCGAGGUUACCAAAGCCUAUCAAACUCUGAAUGCCGGAUAAUUGAUGAAUAGCAGUCAGACUGUGUGAGAUAAGUCUCAUAGUCAAAAGGGAAACAGCCCAGAUCUACAGCUAAGGUCCCAAAUGAACACUAAGUGGAAAAUGAUGUGAAACUGCGAAGACAACCAGGAUGUUGGCUUAGAAGCAGCCACUCAUUCAAAGAGUGCGUAAUAGCUCACUGGUCGAGUGGUUUUGCGCAGAAAAUGUAACGGGGCUAAGUGUUCAACCGAAGCUUAGGCAUUGCAGUAAUGCAUUGGGUAGGGGAGCGUCGUAUGCGGGGCGAAGUCAGAGCGGAAGCACUGGUGGACUGCAUACGAGUGAGAAUGCCGGAAUAAGUAGCGAGAAUUAUGUGAGAAUCAUAAUGGCCGAAAAUCUAAGGUUUCUUGGGGAAGGUUCGUCCGCCCAAGGUUAGUCGGGAGCUAAGCUCAGGCCGAAAGGCGUAGGCGAUGCACAUACGGUAGAAAUUCCGUAACCACCGAACAUUUAAGCUAGAGGGACGCUUUCUUUAAGGUUAUCCCGGGCGAUGGUUGCCCCGGGCGUAAGGGACCGAAAUUUAGUAGGGAAGUAACUGGCGAGAGAGACGAGAAAAGCUCUAGUGUAUACUAAGGUGCCCGUACCGCAAACCGACACAGGUAGAUGGGAUGAGUAUUCUAAGGCCAACGGGAGAAGGGUUGUUAAGGAACUCGGCAAAUUGGCCCCGUAACUUCGGGAUAAGGGGCGCCUGCGAGAGCAGGCCGCAGUGAAAAGGCCCAAGCGACUGUUUAGCAAAAACACAGCUCUCUGCUAAAUCGAAAGAUGACGUAUAGGGGGUGACGCCUGCCCGGUGCUGGAAGGUUAAGGGGAGUGCUUAGCGCAAGCGAAGGUGCGAACUUAAGCCCCAGUAAACGGCGGCCGUAACUAUAACGGUCCUAAGGUAGCGAAAUUCCUUGUCAGGUAAGUUCUG
rnacentral:rRNA from 1 species